rnacentral:rRNA from 1 species
AGUGAACGCUGGCGGUAGGCCUAACACAUGCAAGUCGAACGGCAGCACAGUAAGAGCUUGCUCUUACGGGUGGCGAGUGGCGGACGGGUGAGGAAUACAUCGGAAUCUACUUUUUCGUGGGGGAUAACGUAGGGAAACUUACGCUAAUACCGCAUACGACCUACGGGUGAAAGCAGGGGAUCUUCGGACCUUGCGCGAUUGAAUGAGCCGAUGUCGGAUUAGCUAGUUGGCGGGGUAAAGGCCCACCAAGGCGACGAUCCGUAGCUGGUCUGAGAGGAUGAUCACCCACGCUGGAACUGAGCCACGGUCCAGACUCCUACGGGAGGCAGCAGUGGGGAAUAUUGGACAAAGGGCGCAAGCCUGAUCCAGCCAUACCGCGUGGGUGAAGAAGGCCUUCGGGUUGUAAAGCCCUUUUGUUGGGAAAGAAAAGCAGCAGGUUAAUACCCCGCUGUUCUGACGGUACCCAAAGAAUAAGCACCGGCUAACUUCGUG